UACGUAGGGGGCUAGCGUUGCUCGGAAUCACUGGGCGUAAAGGGCGCGUAGGCGGUCCUUUAAGUCCGCGGUGAAAUCUCCGGGCUCAACCCGGAAACUGCCAUUGAUACUAUUUAUCUUGAAUUCUGUUGAGGUAGGCGGAAUAUAUCAUGUAGCGGUGAAAUGCUUAGAUAUGAUAUAGAACACCGAUUGCGAAGGCAGCUUACUAAACAGACAUUGACGCUGAGGCACGAAAGCGUGGGGAUCAAACAGG
rnacentral:rRNA from 1 species